rnacentral:rRNA from 1 species
AUUGAACGCUGGCGGCAUGCCUUACACAUGCAAGUCGAACGGCAGCGCGGGAGCAAUCCUGGCGGCGAGUGGCGAACGGGUGAGUAAUACAUCGGAACGUGCCCAAUCGUGGGGGAUAACGCAGCGAAAGCUGUGCUAAUACCGCAUACGAUCUACGGCUGAAAGCUGGGGAUCGCAAGACCUUUCGCGAAUGGAGCGGCCGAUGGCAGAUUAGGUAGUUGGUGGGGUAAAGGCUCACCAAGCCUUCGAUCUGUAGCUGGUCUGAGAGGACGACAAGCCACACUGGGACUGAGACACGGCCAAGACGCCUACGGGAGGCAGCAGUGGGGAAUGUUGGACAAUGGGCGAAAGCAUGAUCCAGCCAUGCCGCGUGCAGGAUGAAGGCCUUCGGGUUGUAAACUGCGUUUGUACGGAACGAAACGGUCUUGUCUAAGAAAGAAGGCUAAUGACGGUACCGGAAGAAUAAGCACCGGCUAACUACGUG